UACGUAGGGCGCAAGCGUUGUCCGGAAUUAUUGGGCGUAAAGAGCUCGUAGGCGGUCUGUCGCGUCUGCCGUGAAAACCCGAGGCUUAACCUCGUGGCUUGCGGUGGAUACGGGCAGACUAGAGGUAGGUAGGGGAGAAUGGAAUUCCCGGUGUAGCGGUGAAAUGCGCAGAUAUCGGGAGGAACACCGAUGGCGAAGGCAGGUCUCUGGGCAUUAACUGACGCUGAGGAGCGAAAGCAUGGGGAGCGAACAGG
rnacentral:rRNA from 1 species